rnacentral:rRNA from 1 species
UGAAGUUUUUGUGACUGAGUGGCGGACGGGUGAGUAACGCGUGGGUAACCUGCCUCAUACAGGGGGAUAACAGUCAGAAAUGACUGCUAAUACCGCAUAAGACCACAGCACCGCAUGGUGCAGGGGUAAAAACUCCGGUGGUACAGGAUGGACCCGCGUCUGAUUAGCUGGUUGGUGAGGUAACGGCUCACCAAGGCGACGAUCAGUAGCCGGCUUGAGAGAGUGAACGGCCACAUUGGGACUGAGACACGGCCCAAACUCCUACGGGAGGCAGCAGUGGGGAAUAUUGCACAAUGGGGGAAACCCUGAUGCAGCGACGCCGCGUGAGUGAAGAAGUAUCUCGGUAUGUAAAGCUCUAUCAGCAGGGAAGAAAAUGACGGUACCUGACUAAGAAGCCCCGGCUAACUACGUGCCAGCAGCCGCGGUAAUACGUAGGGGGCAAGCGUUAUCCGGAAUUACUGGGUGUAAAGGGUGCGUAGGUGGUAUGGCAAGUCAGAAGUGAAACCCAGGGCUUAACUCUGGGACUGCUUUUGAAACUGUCAGACUGGAGUGCAGGAGAGGUAAGCGGAAUUCCUAGUGUAGCGGUGAAAUGCGUAGAUAUUAGGAGGAACAUCAGUGGCGAA